CGAACGCUGGCGGCGUGCCUAAUACAUGCAAGUCGAACGCACUCUCGUUUAGAUUGAAGGAGCUUGCUCCUGAUUGAUAAACAUUUGAGUGAGUGGCGGACGGGUGAGUACACGUGGGUAACCUGCCCUAAAGUGGGGGAUAACAUUUGGAAACAGAUGCUAAUACCGCAUAAAACCUAACACCGCAUGGUGUAGGGUUGAAAGAUGGUUUCGGCUAUCACUUUAGGAUGGACCCGCGGUGCAUUAGUUAGUUGGUGAGGUAAAGGCUCACCAAGACCGUGAUGCAUAGCCGACCUGAGAGGGUAAUCGGCCACACUGGGACUGAGACACGGCCCAGACUCCUACGGGAGGCAGCAGUAGGGAAUCUUCCACAAUGGACGAAAGUCUGAUGGAGCAACGCCGCGUGAGUGAAGAAGGUUUUCGGAUCGUAAAACUCUGUUGUUGGAGAAGAAUGUAUCUGAUAGUAACUGAUCAGGUAGUGACGGUAUCCAACCAGAAAGCCACGGCUAACUACGUG
rnacentral:rRNA from 1 species